rnacentral:misc_RNA from 1 species
GAUGAAGAACGUAGCGAAAUGCGAUAAGUAAUGUGAAUUGCAGAAUUCAGUGAAUCAUCGAAUCUUUGAACGCACCUUGCGCUCCUUGGUAUUCCGAGGAGCAUGCCUGUUUGAGUGUCAUUAAAUUCUCAACCUUUAUCUUUUAUUGAUAAAUGGCUUGGACUUGGGGGUUUGCUGGCGAAAGUCAGCUCCUCUGAAAUGUAUUAGCUGGUUGCCUUGUGUGAACUUGUCUAUUGGUGUGAUAAUUAUCUACGCCGUGGGCUGUUUGCCGUUUUAGCACUGCUUCUAACUGUCUGUUAACUCGGACAAUAUAUGACAAUUUGACCUCAAAUCAGGUAGGACUACCCGCUGAACUUAAGCAUAUCAAUAAGCGGGGA